GAUGAACGCUAGCUACAGGCUUAACACAUGCAAGUCGAGGGGUAACGAGAGGAAAGCUUGCUUUCCUUGUCGACGACCGGCGCACGGGUGAGUAACGCGUAUCCAACCUGCCCCCAACUAGGGAAUAACCUUGCGAAAGUAAGACUAAUACCCUAUAAUUUCCUCAGAUGUCAUCUGACGAGGAAUAAAGAUUUAUCGGUUGUGGAUGGGGAUGCGUCUGAUUAGCUUGUUGGCGGGGUAACGGACCACCAAGGCAACGAUCAGUAGGGGUUCUGAGAGGAAGGUCCCCCACAUUGGAACUGAGACACGGUCCAAACUCCUACGGGAGGCAGCAGUGAGGAAUAUUGGUCAAUGGGCGGAAGCCUGAACCAGCCAAGUAGCGUGCAGGAUGACGGCCCUAUGGGUUGUAAACUGCUUUUAUACAGGAAUAAAGUUAGCCACGUGUGGUUAUUUGUAGGUACUGUAUGAAUAAGGACCGGCUAAUUCCGUGCCAGCCGCCGCUGUAA
rnacentral:rRNA from 1 species